UGAGUGAGUGAGUGCAUGUGAGUGAAUGAGUGAGUGCAUGUGAGCGAGUGAGAGAGAGAGUGUGUGUAUGCAUGAGAGAGAGAGAGAGAAAGAGAGAGAGAAACCAAGCACAGUCAUUGU
rnacentral:ribozyme from 1 species